rnacentral:lncRNA from 1 species
UGCAGCAGAGCUCACUGGAGGGUGGCCCUACUGCAUUUUCCGUGCCCUGCUAUAUGCUGUGUACCACAGGAGCAAGCAGAGAAAAACACUGGAAACAAGCCCUGUUUUCCUUCAGUGUUUCCUAGAGCCAUCUGCUGACAACACGAACAUUGGGCAUCUGACAGAGGAGAAAUAUUUAUAAGGUUUAGCUCCAGUAUCACAGGCAGAGCAAUGGAGGAUGGAUUUGGAGCUGCAAGGCAAUAAACUGGUAACUGAACAAAGCUUUGUGAGGUUGGAGGUAACUGCUAUUGAAGAAAUGCUUCAGGCCCUGGUCAACACAACGAAAGACAAUGAACAGAAAUCGCCAUUUGAUGUGAAGAGUGACUGUAAAGGAAGACAAGAAGAAGGCACAAGGAGAUUUGCUCCAAACUAGUUCUUCCCAUAAAAUCUCUGCCCCGGCCAGUUGCAGUGGCUCACGUCUGUAAUCCCAGCACUUUGAGAGGCCGAGGU